UAUGGCGACCGGCGCACGGGUGAGUAACACGUAUCCAACCUGCCGAUGACUCGGGGAUAGCCUUUCGAAAGAAAGAUUAAUACCCGAUGGCAUAGUUCUUCCGCAUGGUAGAACUAUUAAAGAAUUUCGGUCAUCGAUGGGGAUGCGUUCCAUUAGGUUGUUGGCGGGGUAACGGCUCACCAAACCUUCGAUGGAUAGGGGUUCUGAGAGGAAGGUCCCCCACAUUGGAACUGAGACACGGUCCAA
rnacentral:rRNA from 1 species